AGUGAACGCUGGCGGUAGGCCUAACACAUGCAAGUCGAACGGCAGCACAGUAAGAGCUUGCUCUUACGGGUGGCGAGUGGCGGACGGGUGAGGAAUACAUCGGAAUCUACUUUUUCGUGGGGGAUAACGUAGGGAAACUUACGCUAAUACCGCAUACGACCUACGGGUGAAAGCAGGGGAUCUUCGGACCUUGCGCGAUUGAAUGAGCCGAUGUCGGAUUAGCUAGCUGGCGGGGUAAAGGCCCACCAAGGCGACGAUCCGUAGCUGGUCUGAGAGGAUGAUCAGCAAAACGGAAAUGGAGAAAGGGCCAAGACCCUGAGGGGAGGAGGAAGGGGGAAUAUUGGACAAUGGGCGCAAGCCUGAUCCAGCCAUACCGCGUGGGUGAAGAAGGCCUUCGGGUUGUAAAGCCCUUUUGUUGGGAAAGAAAAGCAGCAGGUUAAUACCCCGCUGUUCUGACGGUACCCAAAGAAUAAGCACCGGCUAACUUCGUG
rnacentral:rRNA from 1 species